rnacentral:rRNA from 1 species
AAAUCACAAUGAGAAAUCGUGACGCCGUAAGACUAAGGGUUCCGGGAUCUAUGUUAAUCAGAACCGGGUUAGUCGGUGCCUAAGGUGUAGCCGAAAGGCGAAGCCGAUGGGGAACGGGUUAAUAAUCCCGUACAUGUUAUAGGAGUGAUGUGGUGACGAAGGAGCGUAAGGUAUGCCAGCUGACGGAAUAGCUGGUUGAAGGACAAAGGCGUUGAUCAUGUAGGCAAAUCCGCAUGAGAGUUGAAGUCUGAUAGUACGGUCGUAUGCGAGUACGACUGAUAAUUACUGUAAGCAUACUUCCAAGAAAACCCACUAAACAUAUGUUAUGACAUACCGUACCGUAAACCGACACAGGUAGUCGAGGAGAGUAUCCUCAGGCGCUCGAGUGAUCCGUGGCUAAGGAACUAGGCAAAAUGGUCUCGUAACUUCGGGAGAAGAGACGCCCUGCGCAAGCAGGGCCGCAGUGAAGAGGCCCAGGCGACUGUUUAGCAAAAACACAGGACUCUGCGAAAUCGAGAGAUGAAGUAUAGGGUCUGACACCUGCCCGGUGCUGGAAGGUUAAGGAAGGGGCUUAGUGCGCAAGUGCGAAGGUCUUAACUGAAGCCCCAGUAAACGGCGGCCGUAACAAUAACGGUCCUAAGGUAGCGAAAUUCCUUGUCGGGUAAGUUCCGACCUGCACGAAUGGUGUAACGAUCUGGGCACUGUCUCAGCCACGAGCUCGGUGAAAUUGAAGUAUCGGUGAAGAUGCCGAUUACCCGCAACGGGACGGAAAGACCCCGUGAACCUUUACUAUAGCUUCACAUUGAGCUUGGAUGCAAGAUGUGUAGGAUAGGUGGGAGACUAUGAGCUGUACACGCUAGUGUAUGGGGAGUCGUUGUUGAAAUACCACCCUUCUUGCCUUUAGGUUCUAAUCCCUAUACUAGGGAGACAGUGUGUGGUGGGUAGUUUGACUGGGGUAGUCGCCUCCAAAAGAGUAACGGAGGCUUGCAAAGGUACCCUCAGCAUGGUCGGUAAUCAUGCGCAGAGCGUAUUAGUAUAAGGGUGCUUGACUGAGAGACAGACAAGUCGAACAGGCACGAAAGUGGGCUAAAGUGAUCCGGUGUUUCCGCAUGGAAGGGACAUCGCUCAAAGGAUAAAAGGUACUCCGGGGAUAACAGGCUGAUCCUACCCAAGAGCUCAUAUCGACGGUAGGGUUUGGCACCUCGAUGUCGGCUCGUCACAUCCUGGGGCUGGAGAAGGUCCCAAGGGUUGGGCUGUUCGCCCAUUAAAGUGGCACGCGAGCUGGGUUCAGAACGUCGCAAGACAGUUCGGUCCCUAUCUGUUGUGGGCGCAGGAAUAUUGAGGGGAGCUGACUCUAGUACGAGAGGACCGAGUUGGACGUACCUCUGGUGUACCGGUUGUGGCGCCAGCUGCAUCGCCGGGUAGCUAUGUACGGCAUGGAUAAGCGCUGAAAGCAUCUAAGCGCGAAGCCAUCCCCAAGAUGAGUAUUCCAUCACGCAAGUGAAAAGGGUCCCCGUAGACGACGGGGUUGAUAGGCUAUAGGUCGAAGUGCAGUAAUGUGCGUAGCCGAGUAGUACUAAUUGCCCGAAAGCUUCC